GGAAACCUUACUAGGGUAAGACAUUGGUAUGAUUGACAGAUUGAUAGCUCUUUCUUGAUUUUAUGGGUGGUGGUGCAUGGCCGUUCUUAGUUCGUGGAGUGAUUUGUCUGCUUAAUUGCGUUAACGAACGAGACCUUAACCUGCUAAAUAGGAGCGCCUAUCUCUGAUAAGCGUCUUUCUUCUUAGAGGGACUUUAUGCGUUUCAGCAUGAGGAAGUUUGAGGCUAAAA
rnacentral:rRNA from 1 species